GUUAAAGCAUUGAAGAAGGAAAGUAGUUUUCAAAAGUCUUUUAGAGAGAAAACGGGUGGUGAAAGUUUUCAGACGUUUGUCAAUGAAGUGCCCUUCGGAGCAGUAUACCGAAUUAAGUAGGCUAUACCGGGUUCUCCCGAUACAGAGAUAGAGUACAUCGUACUUGAAGGUGGAUCUUUGAUCAAUUAGAGUGGAACCGCGGAGUUUACUUCGUCUCUUAG
rnacentral:ncRNA from 1 species